rnacentral:rRNA from 1 species
AUUGAACGCUGGCGGCAGGCCUAACACAUGCAAGUCGAGCGAGCGGCGGACGGGUGAGUAAUGUAUGGGGACUGCCCGAUAGAGGGGGAUAACUACUGGAAACGGUGGCUAAUACCGCAUACUAUCGGAUAACCCAUAUGGGAUUAGCUAGGAGGUGGGGUAAAGGCUCACCUAGGCGACGAUCUCUAGCUGGUCUGAGAGGAUGAUCACCAACACAGUGACUGAGACACGGCCCAGACUCCUACGGAGGCAGCAGUGGGGAAUAUUGCACAAGGGGCGCAAGACAGAUGCAGACAUGCCGCGUGUAUGAAGAAGGCCUUCGGGUUGUAAAGUACUUUCAGCGAGGAGGCGUUACUCGAAGAAGAAGCACCGGCUAACUCCGUGCCAGCAGCCGCGGUAAUAC